rnacentral:rRNA from 1 species
AGCAGCCGCGGUAAUUCCAGCUCCAAUAGCGUAUAUUAAAGUUGUUGCAGUUAAAAAGCUCGUAGUUGAAUUUCGGGAUCAGACUGUCGGUCGUGCCUCGGUACGCACUGGCAUUAUUGGUUCCUACCUUCUGAAGAACCGCGAUGUCAUUAAUUUGGUGUCGUGGGGAAUCAGGACUGUUACUUUGAAAAAAUUGAGUGUUUAAAGCAGGCGCACGCUUGAAUACAUUAGCAUGGAAUAAUGAAAUAGGACGUUUGAUUCUAUUUUGUUGGUUUCUAGGAUCGACGUAAUGAUUAAUAGGGAUAGUUGGGGGCAUUAGUAUUCAAUUGUCAGAGGUGAAAUUCUUGGAUUUAUUGAAGACUAACUACUGCGAAAGCAUUUGCCAAGGAUGUUUUCAUUAAUCAAGAACGAAAGUUAGGGAUCGAAGACGAUCAGAUACCGUCGUAGUCUUAACCAUAAACUAUGCCGACUAGGGAUCGGAUGAUGUUGUAUUUUUUANGUACUCUAUUCC